rnacentral:rRNA from 1 species
UGGGGAAUAUUGCACAAUGGGCGCAAGCCUGAUGCAGCCAUGCCGCGUGUAUGAAGAAGGCCUUCGGGUUGUAAAGUACUUUCAGCGGGGAGGAAGGGAGUAAAGUUAAUACCUUUGCUCAUUGACGUUACCCGCAGAAGAAGCACCGGCUAACUCCGUGCCAGCAGCCGCGGUAAUACGGAGGGUGCAAGCGUUAAUCGGAAUUACUGGGCGUAAAGCGCACGCAGGCGGUUUGUUAAGUCAGAUGGGAAAUCCCCGGGCGCAACCUGGGAACUGCAUCUGAUACUGGCAAGCUGGAGUCUCGUAGAGGGGGGUAGAAAUACAGGUGUAGCGGUGAAAUGCGUAGAGAUCUGGAGGAAUACCGGUGGCGAAGGCGGCCCCCUGGACGAAGACUGACGCUCAGGUGCGAAAGCGUGGGGAGCAAACAGG